AGUUUCCUGGGUCAGAGGAACCUGCUGUGUGUUUGCUGGGUGACUUUGUGUGAGUGAUCAGCCUCUCUGCGGCUCAGUUUCCUCAUCCAGAAGACAGAGGUACUGAUCCUCACCCUGUAGGGGUGCUGUGAACACUGGAUGGUAAUGUGUGUAGAGCACUCAGCAGUGUCUGGCAAGGGGGUGAGUACUUAAUAAUUGCACAUUGUUGCGUUCAGGGUAGCCAGGAACAAACAUUCACUCACUUGCCAAGAGGAGAACAUGACAGCUGCACUUCCCUGGAGGACUGGGCUCUCGGGUCAUCAAGAAAGUCUCCCUCUCUCCACCCAGAGCAGAUGAUGAGGAAACUGAGAGCCGAAAAGGUUAAGCAACUUUCCCAAAUUUACAGAGCCGGUGAGCAACAGCGCGCCACAGCAGUCUGGCUUCCACGUACCUGGGCACUCUGCUGUGCCACUCUGGCCAGGCUGACUCUAGUGGGGGCACCUGCAGGGAGGAGCUGGAGGUCAGGCAGUCUAGGGAGGCCAAUGGCAGGUGGCAGGGCCUUCAGAAGCCCUCAGACAGAGGCGUUUCCUGAAAUGCAGCCCUCUGGCCUUCCUAGGGAACUCUAAAAUGAGCUAUUCCCUCUUCUCUCGUCCGCAUGCAGGUCCCUGAGGUAUUUGGAAAUUUGUUAAGGGAUUUGGGGGCUCAAGAUUCUGGCUUUUUAAUAUCUUUCAACUGUCCAUGUGGCGGCGAUCUGUGCCACCCACCUUGUUAUUUCAGUCUGUUCUGGGAGAUGGAUGGCCCAGGCUCUGAUUUAAGAUCUGCCGCGGCAAUCCUCAAUUUCCCAUGUCUCAUGGGGGACAGUGACAAGGCAGCAAGCACACGGAAGACGGCUUAGCUGUGCCCAGACUCCAGGCCCAAGAGCCCACAGCACCUGCAGAAAAAGUUCCAACCAGAAAAACCUGGGCAAAAACAGACAGGCCCAGCAGACCUUUCCCGCAGGUGAUGUGGAAACCCAUUCAUAAUAGAGCCGGAGGGGCCCCAGAGGUGAGCUGAACCAACUCCAGUAUCUCACAGCUGGGCAAACUGAGGCCCAGAGAAGUUGCGUGACUUACCCAAGGCCAUGCAGAAGUGAAUUGAGCCUCCAACUGCAUCUCCUUUUUCAGGAAAAGCCCUCUUACUUGCCUCCUAUCCCCCACUUCUGCCCUGUUCUGGAUGAAUUCCUCUUCUGGAUGAAUCAACCUCUUUGUUGUUGAAAUAAAACAAAAAGGUGGGGGCCUUA